GACGAACGCUGGCGGCGUGCUUAACACAUGCAAGUCGAACGGUGAAGCUCUAGCUUGCUGGAGUGGAUCAGUGGCGAACGGGUGAGUAACACGUGAGCAACCUGCCCCUGACUCUGGAAUAAGCGCUGGAAACGGCGUCUAAUACUGGAUACGAGAAGGGUCCGCAUGGGCACUUUCUGGAAAGUUUUUCGGUUGGGGAUGGGCUCGCGGCCUAUCAGCUUGUUGGUGAGGUAAUGGCUCACCAAGGCGACGACGGGUAGCCGGCCUGAGAGGGCGACCGGCCACACUGGGACUGAGACACGGCCCAGACUCCUACGGGAGGCAGCAGUGGGGAAUAUUGCACAAUGGGCGAAAGCCUGAUGCAGCGACGCCGCGUGAGGGAUGACGGCCUUCGGGUUGUAAACCUCUUUCAGCAGGGAAGAAGCGAAAGUGACGGUACCUGCAGAAGAAGCACCGGCUAACUACGUG
rnacentral:rRNA from 1 species